AGAGUUUGAUCCUGGCUCAGGAUGAACGCUAGCGACAGGCUUAACACAUGCAAGUCGAGGGGCAGCAUUGGAGUAGCAAUACUUCAGAUGGCGACCGGCGCACGGGUGAGUAACACGUAUCCAACCUGCCGCUUACUCGGGGAUAGCCUUUCGAAAGAAAGAUUAAUACCCGAUGGUAUAAAGAGUUCGCAUGUUCUCUUUAUUAAAGAAUUUCGGUAAGCGAUGGGGAUGCGUUCCAUUAGAUAGUUGGCGGGGUAACGGCCCACCAAGUCUACGAUGGAUAGGGGUUCUGAGAGGAAGGUCCCCCACAUUGGAACUGAGACACGGUCCAAACUCCUACGGGAGGCAGCAGUGAGGAAUAUUGGUCAAUGGACGAGAGUCUGAACCAGCCAAGUAGCGUGAAGGAUGACUGCCCUAUGGGUUGUAAACUUCUUUUAUAAGGGAAUAAAGUGAGGGACGUGUCCCUUUUUGUAUGUACCUUAUGAAUAAGGAUCGGCUAACUCCGUGCCAGCAGCCGCGGUAAUACGGAGGAUCCGAGCGUUAUCCGGAUUUAUUGGGUUUAAAGGGAGCGUAGGUUGACGUAUAAGUCAGCUGUGAAAGUUUACGGCUCAACCGUGAAAUUGCAGUUGAUACUGUAUGUCUUGAGUGUACAAGAGGUGGGCGGAAUUCGUGGUGUAGCGGUGAAAUGCUUAGAUAUCACGAAGAACUCCAAUUGCGAAGGCAGCUCACUGGGGUACAACUGACACUGAGGCUCGAAAGUGUGGGUAUCAAACAGGAUUAGAUACCCUGGUAGUCCACACAGUAAACGAUGAAUACUCGCUGUUUGCGAUAUACAGUAAGCGGCCAAGCGAAAUUAUCGUGACUGGGAAACAGAUCGGAAGAGCACACGUCUGAACUCCA
rnacentral:rRNA from 1 species